rnacentral:lncRNA from 1 species
UUUCGCUUGAUUGAGCUGCAUAAUUUAGAAAAUGUUAAGAAAAAUUCUAAAAUUUAUGUACAAAGUAAUUACCAAAAAAAUACUCACCAGAUCUUACUCUGAAGCACCAUUAGGAUGUAAGUUUUCAACUUAUCGAUAACAACCAUUCAAUUUUCUUAUAGCCUUCUCAAUAACUUGCAUUCGACAUUGCAAAGGCCGUGGCUUGUGGGACUCCCAAAACUCAUUCUUUGCAACUUCAUAUGCUUCUGCCACCUGACUCCAAAAACAUUGACUAGAUUGUUGUUUACCUAUAACGGGAUCUUGUGAAACAUUUAGAUAAAUUCUACAUAAUAGCACACCUUCAUUGGUAGAAUAUCCUGCAGAUCUUAAAGUCAUAGUUUACAAAGUGAUUAAAUAUUGAAGGGUAUGGCUAACUUAUGGUAACUUGUAGAUGUUGACAUUCAAAUAUAUAUAAGUCAGAUGGAAUUUUAAACAAUAAUUAAACCAAUAGUAUCCUAAUAGAUUUUAUAUUAAAAUCGACCGUUUGAUGAAUUUCAUUUCGAUCUCCACCUUCGAAUAGUAUGCAUCCCUAUCCCCACAUUUUUUAAUGAAGUCAGAUGGAAUCUUAAACAAUAAUUAAACCAACAGCAUCCUGAUAGAUUUCAUCUUAAAAUCGACCGUUCGAUGGAUUUCAUUUCGAUCUCCAUCCUCGGAUAGUAUGCAUCCGUAUCCCUACAUUUUUCAAUAAAGUCAGAUGGAAUAUUAAAUAAUAAUUAAAUCAACAGUAUUCUGAUAGAUUUCAUCUUAAAAUCGACCGUUGGAUGGAUUUCAUCUUAAUCUCCACCUUCGUAUAAUAUACAUUUCUAUCCCCACAGUUUUCAAUAAAGUCAAAUGAAAUCUUAAAUAAUAAUUAAACCAACAAUAUUAUGAUAGAUUUCAUCUUAAAAUCGAUCGUUGGAUGGAUUUCAUCUUACUCUCCACCUUUAGAUAGUAUGUAUCUCUAUCCCAAUAGUUUUCAAUAAAGUCAGAUGAAAUCUUAAACAAUAAUUAAACUAACAGUAUCCUGAUAGAUCUCAUCUUAAAAUCGACCGUUGGAUAGAUUUUAUCUUGAUCUCCACUUUCGGAUAGUAUACAUUCCUAUCCCUACAUUUUCAGAUGAUUAUAUUUCAGAUGAAAAUUCAUUAUCAUCUUCUUCAGAUAUUUAUGAUUAUAUUUCAGAUGAUAAUGAGUUUGCAAUGGAAGUACAAGCAGUUAAUCAAUAAUUUUUUAGAAAUAAGAUGGUUUUGCAGCAAAUACAAGAUCAACACGGAGUUUCUAGAGGUGGCUCUGUUCCAGGUCAUCUAGUAAUCAAUCGAGAUCGUGAAGCAGCUGAUCGUAAUUUAUUUCUGAAUUAUUUUUUAGAUAAUCCACUAUUCAAUGAUGUAAUGCUUCAUCGACGAUAUAGAAUGUCUCGAAAUUUGUUCCUUCGUAAUAUCGAUGCAAUAAAAGCGCAUGAUACGUACUUCGAAUAACAAAGAGAUGCAGUAGGUAAAAUUGGAUUAUCUACUCUUCAAAAAAUCACAGUUGUAUUUUGAAUGUUAACGAAUGGUUUGCCGGAAGAUACUAUCGACGAAUAUGUGAAAAUUAGGGAGUCAACUGCAGUUGAAAGUCUAAAGAGAUUUUGUCGAGCUACUAAUGAGGUAUUUGGUGAGCAGUAUUUGAGAUCACCAACUGCCGAUGAUGUUGCAGUGCUUCUUUACAUUGGUGAGCAACAUAGCUUUCCUAGAAUGUUAGGUAGUCUCGAUUGCAUGCAUUGGGAAUGGAAAAUUUGUCUUAUUGCAUGGGCUGGCCAAUAUACAGGUCGUAGUGGAUCGCCAACAAUCAAUCAUUUUAGAAGUUGUAGUUGAUUAUGACAUUUGGAUAUGACAUGCAUAUUUUGGAAUGUCUGACUCCAAUAACGAUAUUAAUAUUUUGGAGUCAUUGCAUUUAUUUUUCGACCUAGCUAAAUGUAUUGCUCCUCCCGCUCAUUAUAUUAUUCAAGGAAAAGAAUAUAACACAGAUUAUUAUUUAGCUGAUGGUAUAUAUCCGAAAUGGUCAACUAUUGUGCAAAUUAUUCGUGAACCACAAAUAAGGAAGAAGAGGUAUUUUGCAAUGAAACAAGAAUCUUGUUGAAAAGAUAUUGAACGUGUUUUCGGAGUGUUGCAGUCACGUUUUGCAAUAGUUGCAGGAACAUCACAUUUUUGGAAAAAAGAAGUAUUGCAUGAUAUAUUAACUACAUGUAUUAUCAUGCAUAAUAUAAUAAUCGAGGAUGAACGUGACCUUAGUGUAUUUAUUGAAGACGGUAGAGAAUUUUCAACUCUAACUGUUGAAAUGGUUGUCGAUGAAGCUACCCGAUUUAAACAAUUUUUUGCUCGAUACAAAAAAAUUAAGGAAAAAGAUGCUAAUUUUGCACUUCGUAAUACAUUAAUAGAGUAUUUGUGGGAGUAAUAUACGAAUUAAAAUGAUCAUCUAUAUUAGCUUGUAUUUUUUUUAUUGAUAAUUUAAUAUGUAUGAAUCUAUUUUAUUUUUAAUUUGUUAAUUAAUGUUUAAUUAAUGUAUGUUUAUAAUUAAUGUUUAAUUAAUGAAUUUUUAUAAUUAAUAUUUAAUUAAUGUAUUUUAUAAUUAAUAUAUUUUUAUUUAUCUAUAAUAUAAUUGAAUAUUUAAAUAUUGGAUGAAAAUGUAAAAUGUAUAAAUAUUUGGGAUGGAUAUAUAAAAUUAUAUGAGAUUUUUAGUGAAAUUAAUAAAUAAAGUUAAAGUAAAAUAAUAUAAUAUUAAAAAAAGAAAAAAAAUAUAAACAAGUUAAAAAUAGUAUAGAAAAUUAGAGAUAAUAUUAGGCUAUUUUAAUAUUUUAUAUUAAAAUAAUGUAAAAAAUACUGCGAAGCAUGGGAGAUGGCCUUGCGGCCUUAAUAUAUAACAUAGCUUAGACUACUAUAGGCAGGAGUAAAUCUCUGAGCAAAGUCUUUUGACAGUUGCUAGAGAUUGAGGGAAGAAGAACAACAAUGCUAUCUGGCUUGUGGGACCGGGUCUUCUUUCGAGUCUAAGGAGUUUGGAUUUUUAGAACUUUUUCUUCAUUUGGGUUUUAUGUUCUUUAGGCUCUAACUCUUUAUUCUAUAAUUUUUCAUGGGCUAUGUGCUUUUUAUCUAAGCUGUAAUGUUAACUUUUUUUUAAUGGAACUUUUUUAUCUUUAGAAAAAAAAAAAAAAGAAAAGAAAAAGUACAUAUACUUAAUUAAUCUAAAAAUUUUAAUUGAUCUUGUUUGACCCUUACAAAGAUUUAUCUAGAAAAUAUAAGACCGUGUUAGUGGUAAUUACUAAGAUCAUCAGACCCAGAAUUUAAUGAAGCAAACUCCUUCAAUGGUAUGACAUUAAUUUCAAAAAGGAUGAGACAGAUAGAGAAGAGUGGUACCAGUAGGGUUAUAGAGCCAGAUCGAUCAACGAAAACGGUGGUGGUAGUUUGGGCUUUCUGGUUCUCCAAGUGUUUGGCAAAAGCAGCGUUAGAGGAUUCUGAAUGUGAAGACGAUGAAUAAGAAGAGUUGCUCCUAUGCAAAGGAAAUGAAAGGGAAGUUGCCGCUCUGCUGGACAGAAAAUGACGGCAAGUGGAAGCUUGUUUCAGUAACACUCCUCAGCAUUUUCCUUUGGGGGUUGUCGCCG